UGCUGCAUACCUCGGUUGUAACGAGUGGUUAUUUCAGUCACUGUUGCCCUUCUAUCAGCUCGAACCAGUCUGGCCAUUCUCCUCUGACCUCUGGCAUCAACAAGGCAUUUCCGCCCACAGAACUGCCGCUCACUGGAUGUUUUUUCUUUUUCGGACCAUUCUCUGUAAACCCUAGAGAUGGUUAUGCGUGAAAAUCCCAGUAGAUUAGCAGUUUCUGAAAUACUCAGACCAGCCCUUCUGGCACCAACAAUCAUGCCACGUUCAAAGUCACUCAAAUCAACUUUCUUCCCCAUACUGAUGCUCGGUUUGAACUGCAGGAGAUUGUCUUGACCAUGUCUACAUGCCUAAAUGCACUGAGUUGCCGCCAUGUGAUUGGCUGCUUAGAAAUUAAGUGUUAACGAGCAGUUGGACAGCAUGGGGUACCUAAUAAAGUGGCCGGUGAGUGUAUAUGCUGUACAUAUU